rnacentral:rRNA from 1 species
GUUUGAUCAUGNUCAGAACGAACGCNGNNGGCGUGCUNANACAUGCAAGUCGUGCGAGAAAGCCACCUUCGGGUGGUGANUAAAGCGGCGCACGGGUGAGUAACGCGUGGAUAAUCUACCUGUAGGUCUGGGAUAANUCCGGGAAACUGGGGCUAAUACCGGAUAGGACCACGGGACCUUCGGGUCUUGCGGAAAAAGGUGGCCUCUUCUUGAAAGCUAUCGCCUAUCGAUGAGUCCGCGUCCCAUUAGCUUGUUGGCGAGGUAAAGGCUCACCAAGGCUUCGAUGGGUAGCUGGUCUGAGAGGAUGAUCAGCCACACUGGAACUGAGACACGGUCCAGACUCCUGCGGGAGGCAGCAGUCGGGAAUUUUGGGCAAUGGGGGAAACCCUGACCCAGCAACGCCGCGUGAGGGAUGAAGGCCCUCGGGUCGUAAACCUCUGUCGGAAGGGAAGAAAGGCGUCUGCUCCAAUACAGCAGGGGCUUGACGGUACCUUCAAAGGAAGCACCGGCUAACUCCGUGCCAGCAGCCGCGGUAAUACGGAGGGUGCAAGCGUUGUUCGGAAUUACUGGGCGUAAAGCGCGUGUAGGCGGCUUGGCAAGUCGAGUGUGAAAUCCCAGGGCUCAACCCUGGAACUGCACCCGAAACUGCCUCGCUGGAGUCCCGGAGAGGGUGGCGGAAUUUCCGGUGUAGAGGUGAAAUUCGUAGAUAUCGGAAGGAACACCAGUGGCGAAGGCGGCCACCUGGACGGUGACUGACGCUGAGACGCGAAAGCGUGGGGAGCAAACAGGAUUAGAUACCCUGGUAGUCCACGCCGUAAACGUUGAGUGCUAGGCGUCGGGGGUAUUGACCCCUCCGGUGCCGGAGUUAACGCAUUAAGCACUCCGCCUGGGGAGUACGACCGCAAGGUUAAAACUCAAAGGAAUUGACGG